GACGAACGCUGGCGGCGUGCUUAACACAUGCAAGUCGAACGGAAGGGCCCUGCUUUUGUGGGGUGCUCGAGUGGCGAACGGGUGAGUAACACGUGAGUAACCUGCCCUUGACUUUGGGAUAACUUCAGGAAACUGGGGCUAAUACCGGAUAGGAGCUCCUGCUGCAUGGUGGGGGUUGGAAAGUUUCGGCGGUUGGGGAUGGACUCGCGGCUUAUCAGCUUGUUGGUGGGGUAGUGGCUUACCAAGGCUUUGACGGGUAGCCGGCCUGAGAGGGUGACCGGGCACAUUGGGACUGAGAUACGGCGCAGACUCCUACGGGAGGCAGCAGUGGGGAAUAUUGCACAAUGGGCGGAAGCCUGAGGCAGCAACGCCGCGUGCGGGAUGACGGCCUUCGGGUUGUAAACCGCUGUCGCCUGUGACGAAGCGUGAGUGACGGUAAUGGGUAAAGAAGCACCGGCUAACUACGUG
rnacentral:rRNA from 1 species